rnacentral:rRNA from 1 species
UACGGGGGGGGCAAGCGUUGUUCGGAAUUACUGGGCGUAAAGGGCUUGUAGGUGGCCAACUAAGUCAGACGUGAAAUCCCUCAGCUUAACUGGGGAACUGCUUCUGAUACUGGAUGGCUUGAGUUUGGGAGAGGGAUGCGGAAUUCCAGGUGUAGCGGUGAAAUGCGUAGAUAUCGGGAGGAACACCUGUGGCGAAAGCGGCGCACUGGACCACAACUGACGCUGAGGCGCGAAAGCUAGGGGAGCAAACAGG